UUCACUCGCCUACGAAACAAACAAAAAACAGGGUACACGGUGGGAAAUCAAAUCAAAUGAUGAUGCCUUGAAAUUUGCGAGAUUCCGAUAACCCAACCUCUCAAACACCCAACUUCUUCACUUUCACACUCUCUCUGUCUGUCUGUGUCUUAUGCCAUGGACAUUGUUUCUCUCUCGUCACCCUCUCCAAUCCCUCGUCUCUAUCUCUGUCACCAAGAAGCUAGAUUCUUGUCUGGAUCAUCUUCCACUCUCUUGUGUUCACCUAGAGCAAUAACCACUUAUAAAUAUCCAAUUUUGAGGACACCCCAUAUUUCUUCUCAAAGUAGUUUGCUAGGUAUACCCCAGAAGCAAAGAAAUGCACCAUGGGUGCCUCUUUGUUCCAAAAUGGAGUUUUGUGGGCCUAAUUACAGUUUUGUUCAGAAUAAAUUCCUCAGGGAUGUAGUUGUAAGGUCUGAGCUUACUGCAGCUGGGUCUGCUGGAGAUGACUUUUCAAUACCUGAGCUGAAAAUUGAGUCGAAAGUCAGGGGAGCUGGUUUUUAUGCUGUCACUUCAUUUGCUGCCAUAUUUCUUUUUGUGUUGAUGGUUGUUGGACAUCCGUAUGUGCUCCUGGUCGAUCCCUACCGGAGAAAGUUCCAACAUUUUAUUGCCAAGGUGUGGGCGAAGCUGACCGUGGCCCCGUUUUUCAAAAUUGAUUUUGUGGGAUUGGAGAAUCUGCCUCCUCCGGAUACUCCUGCUGUGUAUGUUUCGAAUCAUCAGAGUUUUCUAGACAUAUAUACUCUUCUUACAUUAGGAAGAAGCUUUAAAUUCAUAAGCAAGACUGCAAUAUUCCUCUACCCAAUAAUUGGAUGGGCGAUGUUUAUUUUGGGGGUCAUUCCUUUAAAGCGCAUGGAUAGCCGAAGCCAGAUGGAAUGUCUCAAACGGUGCAUGGAUCUGAUCAAGAAAGGAGCCUCAGUUUUUUUCUUUCCGGAGGGAACACGCAGUAAAGAUGGAAAACUAGGCACUUUCAAGAAAGGUGCUUUCAGCAUUGCUGCAAAGACAAAUGCACCAGUGGUUCCGAUUACCCUUAUUGGAACUGGCCAAAUCAUGCCUCCAGGGUGGGAGGGUAUAGUGAACCCAGGUUCCGUGAAAGUUGUUAUACAUAAACCAAUAGAUGGAAACAAUGCUGAAAUGUUAUGCAAAGAAGCUAGGAAGGCGAUUGCUAGUGUCCUGACUGAAACCUGAGGAAAUGUACGACAAAAGAGUUCUUUUUUCAUCUCUAUUGCAUGAGAGUCAAACCAAACACCCUGUUCCUUGAAAUGAUUUGGGAAGUAAUGCUUUGCUUAGGUGGAAUGGAACUAUAAUUCAUGUUGGGGCACCAGGUGUACUAGCUUUGAGUUUGCACCUGUUCAGCCAUUGAGGUUCUUUCUUGAAGCUUCAUCAGUCCUAUUGUUCUUCCACGUUUUUCUUCUGGUAGGGAGGGAGGGGGUGCAGUGAGGUUUUUCUGUGCAUCUGCUGUGUCAGAUGGUUGGGUAACUGUAUCUAACUACCUAUAUACCUACUGAAAAUUUUGCGAUUUUAGGAAAAUGAGUAUAGGAAUAUGAAGCAUUUACAGUCCACACACGGUUUUGCAAUAAACUUUCUAUACAUUCACACACCACUUUCUCUUCUAUUCAAUUUUUAAUCACUUUCUCUUCGUAUAGUUCUUAUUUUCCUGUCACAUCAUUUAUCUUAUCUCUCAUUUCACUCUCUUA